rnacentral:tRNA from 1 species
GCCGGAGUGGCGGAAUGGUAGACGCUGGGGACUUAAAAUCCCUUGACCGUAUGGUCGUGUGGGUUCGAUCCCCACCUCCGGCACCA